CUUAUCUAAAACAUGUAAUUACUGGGAAAUUCCAGAUUAAUUUCCUGCAAGUUUUAGUUAGUUAACGAUUGUGUUAAACACUUAAGAGAGCAGCUCCUAGAUGACUAAACCUGCUCAGCUGAAAUCAAAUGCUCUCAUGCUUCCCUGAAUGGACACACACAGAGUCUCUUCACCUGAGGAAUAAAGUGUAAGAUCUUCAGAACUUUUAUUCAGGGGAGAAAGGCCCAGGUAGCUGCUGCUGUUCAGCUUAAGGCUAAUCUGACCUUCUAUAACAGGAGUUCAAGUCCCAGAAAUCCCUAGUCCUCCAUCAGAGAAGCAGCUAGUGUGUACUGCUCUCACAGAGAGAAAUAGAUGGGGCGAGUAAAUACUGCACUUUCAACCGAAACAUACAGAUACACAUGUUGGAAUUCAUCAAGAAAACAACCUGACCCAUGGAGAAUGGAGAAAAGCAGGGCAGGACAACCGCCCACACGGGAGAAACAUGGAGCCAGGGGAACCUCCCCAUCCAGGGAAGCCGUGAGUGAAUGAGCGACCCUGCGGACCAAUGCUUCUCCCAUGGAUCGUUGCUACUCUUGGGUCAGGAGAUCCCCUCAUGAACCCACUCCACUAGGGCCUUCAGUCAGAUACACAGAGCUAUGGGGAGUCUUGGCAGAGCAGCCGCUCAGGCUCUGAAAAGUCCUCUGUGAGUACCAGGGGCUGGUCCAGACCCCCAGCACAGAGCGCCCACCUUAGAAAAGCGGUCAGACUGUUCCCCACAAGUCCCAGUCCUCACUGCAUAGGGCUGCCCGACCUGAGACUCCAGCACCACCAUCCUGUUUCCGCCUGACCACUUCAAUCAGAGGCACCCCCGCAUUUCUUCGAAGAGGAAAUAAAUACCAGAGUGAACCCACAAACCUUCGCCUCUGCAGUUGCAGUGGUACUGCCCUAACAGACCUCAGGCUGGGGAAGGAACAAAGGUCCCAGUCACUACACUGGUAUCUUUAGUGCACCGCAGCCACCAUAUGGAAAGGAGUUCAGUUUCUCUUUCCUGGGAAUCCCCACCCGCUACUCUUCACCAGGCAGGGCCCCUGGUUCAUGACCACAGAACAGUCACGUCACCCACAGCUGAGCAAACCCACCGGUAGUGGCCUGGAGUUUCCCUGGGGAAAAGCUCUCAGAGGUAUAUGACAGUCUCUCCACCACAGUGACCACAUGGAGAGGAGACCAUUAUCUCCUCUCAGUGAGCCCUUGAACCCCUGCUCCCCAACAAGUGGAGCCUCCAACUCACACCAGCAGUGCAGCCACCCACCUCACUGGCUGAACAUUCCCAGUAACAGUGACUCUGCAUUUCUUGGGGUUGGAGCCCUCAGGGGCAACCAAAAGCCUCUCUGCCACUGCCUCUGUAGUAGUACUACCCCUACUACCUUUAGACUAAUUAAACAGCAAAGACCCUAAGUGCCUCAUCCACACCCCCAACAAGCUGCAGUUAACCCAAGGAGAGGAGACCAGUCCAUCUCCCACAGGUCCCAUCCACCCCUGCUGCUUGUCACCAGGGAACCCCCCAGCUUGGACCCACAGUACAGAUCACCCAUCUUGGGCCUAUCACACUGAGCAAUUGCUGACCUGCAUCUCUGUGGAGUGGAGCCCCCAGGAGACAAGUAAAAGACCCCCAGCCACAACCACUGCUAAGGUCCUUCUCUCUGCUGCCUCCAAGCUGGGGAGGAAACAUAAACCCUGAGAUCUCCCCAGAGCUGUGGUGGGCAGCCUAGGAGUGCCAAGUCUCAAUCUGUAGCCAGCACUCAAAUGGGAGAGGAGUCCACACUUUCAGAGCAUUGAGAGGUAGCCCAGCUGCAACCAUGAGGAAAUAUAGAGGAGUCACAUGACUGGGAAAGAGUCUACCUACUGACCACUACUUCACAAAACCCCUCAUUUCCUUCUGUCCUCCCUAAAGCCUCUCAGUUUUGAAUCUCAUGUCUUCAAAUUGUAUCACCCACUGGCCUCCAUGAAGCGCCUAAGCACCACCUACUGGAUCACACCCCGCAGCUUCAACACCAAAAAGUUAGAAAGACUUCAAAUUAACAACCUAACAUCACAACUAAAAGAACUACAGAACCAAGAGCAAACCAAUCCCAAAGCUAGCAGAAGACAAAAAAACACAUGCUUAUCUCAACAGAUGUAUCUCACUAACAUACCCGCCCUGUAAAACCAAAGAUAAGAAGUCAGCUGCAAAUAAAGACCUCGCACAAAGCCUCAGCCCUGUGAAAAUAUUCAGGAAAAAAGUCUUCUGACUGUACUCAAUCUAUGCUGCAGUUAAAGGAACACCCAUACACAGAGAUGAGAAAGAACCAAUGUAAGAACUCUGGCAACUCAAAUGACCAGUGUCUUAUGUACUCCAAACAAUAGCACCAGUUCUCCAAUGAGGGUUCUUAAACAGGCUGAGUUGGCUGAAAUGACAGAAAUAGAAUUCAGAGUAUAGAUAGGAAUGAAGAUCAUUGAGAUUUAGGAGAAGAGGAAAACACAAUCCAAGGAAACUAAGAAUCACAAUAAAAUGAUAAAGGAGCUGACAGGCAAAAUCGCCAGUAUUAAAAAGAAACCUAACUGAUCUGAUAGAGCUGAAAAGCACACUGCAAGAAUUUCACAAUGCAAUCGCAAGUAUUAACAGCAGAAUAGA
rnacentral:lncRNA from 1 species